GGAGAGAUGGCUGAGUGGCCGAAAGCAGCUUCCUGCUAAGAAGUUGACCUGGGAAACUGGGUCCCUGGGUUCGAAUCCCAGUCUCUCCGCCA
rnacentral:tRNA from 1 species